CAGCAGCCGCGGGAAUACGUAGGGUGCGAGCGUUAAUCGGAAUUACUGGGCGUAAAGCGUGCGCAGGCGGUUUUGUAAGACAGGCGUGAAAUCCCCGGGCUCAACCUGGGAAUGGCGCUUGUGACUGCAAAGCUAGAGUGCGGCAGAGGGGGAUGGAAUUCCGCGUGUAGCAGUGAAAUGCGUAGAUACGCGGAGGAACACCGAUGGCGAAGGCAAUCCCCUGGGCCUGCACUGACGCUCAUGCACGAAAGCGUGGGGAGCAAACAGGAUUAGAUACCCCCGUAGUCCCUGUCUCUUAUAC
rnacentral:rRNA from 1 species